UACAGAGGGGGCAAGCGUUGUUCGGAAUUACUGGGCGUAAAGGGCGCGUAGGUGGCCUUCUAAGUUGAACGUGAAAUCCCUGGGCUCAACCCAGGAACUGCGUCCAAGACUGGGAGGCUUGAAUCCGGGAGAGGGAUGCGGAAUUCCAGGUGUAGCGGUGAAAUGCGUAGAUAUCGGAAGGAACACCGGUGGCGAAAGCGGCGCGCUGGACCGCUUCUGACGCUGAGGCGCGAAAGCCAGGGGAGCAAACGGG
rnacentral:rRNA from 1 species